AGCAAACCAGAUGAAUUUAAGGUGUUUUCUGAAGGACAGUCAGAGUAGGCAAGGUCAUCAACUAACAUCUUAAUCAUUCUCUGCUGUUAAUAUCCAGAGGACUAUAAACACUUCAGUUACAUCAGUAUUGCACACUGGAGCUCUGAUAUUUCUGUAUUAUGUCAGUAGAGACAAUGUAACAUUGGAAUCAGAAGCACCACAGCUGCUCAGGCAAGGAAAAAUUCUGUUUAAGUAGACACAUCAACCUUUUCAUUAUUUGCCAGAUGAAAAUUUCAGCAAAGAAAUCAGCAAGCACACAUGUUGUAUUCAGAGAUGAGGGGCCUGUGGGCUCUACCCAGACACAGAAUGAGAAAAGCUGUAUUUGGCUGGCAAAAAAAUCCAGCUACUCAUGCAUCUAUUCUUGGACAACGGCCAAACGAGGUUCAACUGAAUAAGAUGAGGACAAAGAUACUGCACGUCUGCUGAGAGUUCUCUGGAUUUCAAAACAUUUGUGCCCUAGGGUCUUUGAAGUGUUCUCUUGCAGAAGUCAGUGCUAACCUAAAACACCUAAAAAUAGGAAUUUCAUAAAGAUUCCUCAUAAAUACAAUUUACCUUGCCUACAAGACUUUAUUUGGUUCUAUAUAUAAGCUGUGGAAGGAGCAGAGCUUCUUGGUUAGAAAUGAAUUAUUUGCACAGCACAUGAUCUAGUCAGAUGUUGUUUGAACUGAUACCACCACUGAUAAACUUCAGUGAAAAGUUUGGAUGAAAACGAGUUUUGUUUCUUUCUGUAUC